GGGCAUCAGUUUGGUUUGCUUGCAAACCAAAGCUGGCGACCGGCGCACGGGUGAGUAACACGUAUCCAACCUGCCUCAUACUCGGGGAUAGCCUUUCGAAAGAAAGAUUAAUAUCCGAUAGCAUAUAUUUCCCGCAUGGGUUUUAUAUUAAAGAAAUUCGGUAUGAGAUGGGGAUGCGUUCCAUUAGUUUGUUGGCGGGGUAACGGCCCACCAAGACUACGAUGGAUAGGGGUUCUGAGAGGAAGGUCCCCCACAUUGGAACUGAGACACGGUCCAAACUCCUACGGGAGGCAGCAGUGAGGAAUAUUGGUCAAUGGACGCGAGUCUGAACCAGCCAAGUAGCGUGAAGGAUGACUGCCCUAUGGGUUGUAAACUUCUUUUAUAUGGGAAUAAAGUGGUCCACGUGUGGAUUUUUGUAUGUACCAUAUGAAUAAGGAUCGGCUAACUCCGUGCCAGCAGCCGCGGUAAUACGGAGGAUCCGAGCGUUAUCCGGAUUUAUUGGGUUUAAAGGGAGCGUAGGCGGAUUGUUAAGUCAGUUGUGAAAGUUUGCGGCUCAACCGUAAAAUUGCAGUUGAUACUGGCAGUCUUGAGUGCAGUAGAGGUGGGCGGAAUUCGUGGUGUAGCGGUGAAAUGCUUAGAUAUCACGAAGAACUCCGAUUGCGAAG
rnacentral:rRNA from 1 species